UACGGAGGGGGCUAGCGUUAUUCGGAAUUACUGGGCGUAAAGCGCACGUAGGCGGCUUUGUAAGUCAGAGGUGAAAGCCUGGAGCUCAACUCCAGAACUGCCUUUGAGACUGCAUCGCUUGAAUCCAGGAGAGGUGAGUGGAAUUCCGAGUGUAGAGGUGAAAUUCGUAGAUAUUCGGAAGAACACCAGUGGCGAAGGCGGCUCACUGGACUGGUAUUGACGCUGAGGUGCGAAAGCGCGGGGAGCAAACAGG
rnacentral:rRNA from 1 species